rnacentral:rRNA from 1 species
GCGAGUCAUUGUAGCAAUACAAGGCAGACGGCUCAGUAACGCGUAGUCAAUCUACCCUAUGGACGGGAAUAACCUCGGGAAACUGAGAAUAAUGCCCGACAGAACAUUAUACCUGGAACGGUUUAUGUUUCAAAUGAUUUAUCGCCGUAGGAUGGGACUGCGGCCUAUCAGUUUGUUGGUGAGGUAAUGGCCCACCAAGACUAUUACAGGUACGGGCUCUGAGAGGAGUAGCCCGGAGAUGGGUACUGAGACACGGACCCAGGCCCUAUGGGGCGCAGCAGGCGAGAAAACUUUGCAAUGUGCGAAAGCACGACAAGGUUAAUCCGAGUGGUUUCUGCUAAAGAAACCUUUUGCUAGUCCUAGAAACACUAGUGAAUAAGGGGUGGGCAAGUUCUGGUGUCAGCCGCCGCGGUAAAACUAGCACCUCAAGUGGUCAGGAUGAUUAUUGGGCCUAAAGCAUCCGUAGCUCGUUUUGUAAGUUUUCGGUUAAAUCCAUACGCUUAACGUAUGGGCUGCCGGGAAUACUGCAUAACUAGGAAGUGGGAGAGGUAGACGGUACUCGGUAGGAAGGGGUAAAAUCCUUUGAUCUAUUGAUGACCACCUGUGGCGAAGGCGGUCUACCAGAACACGUUCGACGGUGAGGGAUGAAAGCUGGGGGAGCAAACCGGAUUAGAUACCCGGGUAGUCCCAGCUGUAAACUAUGCAAACUCAGUGAUGCAUUGGCUUGUGGCCAAUGCAGUGCUGCAGGGAAGCCGUUAAGUUUGCCGCCUGGGAAGUACGUACGCAAGUAUGAAACUUAAAGGGAAUUGGCGGGGGAGCACCACAAGGGGUGAAGCCUGCGGU